rnacentral:rRNA from 1 species
UAAGUCAGAUGUGAAAGCCCAGGGCUCAACCUUGGAACUGCAUUUGAUACUGGCAAACUAGAGUAUGGUAGAGGAAUGGGGAAUUUCUGGUGUAGCGGUGAAAUGCGUAGAGAUCAGAAGGAACACCAAUGGCGAAGGCAACAUUCUGGACCAAUACUGACACUGAGGGACGAAAGCGUGGGGAUCAAACAGGAUUAGAUACCCUGGUAGUCCACGCUGUAAACGAUGAGUACUAGCUGUUGGAUUCGGUGUAAAGGAUCUAGUGGCGUAGCUAACGCGUUAAGUACUCCGCCUGGGGACUACGGCCGCAAGGCUAAAACUCAAAGGAAUUGACGGGGACCCGCACAAGCGGUGGAGCAUGUGGUUUAAUUCGAUGCAACGCGAAGAACCUUACCUGGUCUUGACAUCCUGCGAACUUUCUAGAGAUAGAUUGGUGCCUUCGGGAACGCAGUGACAGGUGCUGCACGGCUGUCGUCAGCUCGUGUUGUGAAAUGUUGGGUUAAGUCCCGCAACGAGCGCAACCCCUAUUGAUAGUUACCAUCAUUAAGUUGGGUACUCUAUUGAGACUGCCGCUGACAAGGCGGAGGAAGGUGGGGACGACGUCAAGUCAUCAUGGCCCUUACGACCAGGGCUACACACGUGCUACAAUGGGUAUUACAGAGGGCAGCGAAGUAGCGAUAUGGAGCGAAACUCAGAAAGGUACUCUUAGUCCGGAUUGCAGUCUGCAACUCGACUGCAUGAAGUCGGAAUCGCUAGUAAUCGCAGGUCAGAAUACUGCGGUGAAUACGUUCCCGGGUCUUGUACACACCGGCCGUCACACCAUGGGAGUGGGUUGCUCCAGAAGUAGAUAGCUUAAC